AUUGAACGCUGGCGGCAUGCCUUACACAUGCAAGUCGAACGGUAGAGGGGGCAACCCCUCGAGAGUGGCGAACGGGUGAGUAAUGCAUCGGAACGUGCCCAGUAGUGGGGAUAGCCCGGCGAAAGCCGGAUUAAUACCGCAUGAGACCUACGGGUGAAAGGGGGGAUCGCAAGACCUCUCGCUAUUGGAGCGGCCGAUGUCAGAUUAGGUAGUUGGUGGGGUAAAGGCCUACCAAGCCGACGAUCUGUAGCUGGUCUGAGAGGACGACCAGCUACACUGGGACUGAGACACGGCCCAGACUCCUACGGGAGGCAGCAGUGGGGAAUUUUGGACAAUGGGCGAAAGCCUGAUCCAGCCAUGCCGCGUGCGGGAAGAAGGCCUUCGGGUUGUAAACCGCUUUUGUCAGGGAAGAAAUCCUUUGAGCUAAUACCUCGGGGGGAUGACGGUACCUGAAGAAUAAGCACCGGCUAACUACGUGCCAGCCGCCGCAGUAA
rnacentral:rRNA from 1 species